CCUACGGGAUGCUGCAGUGAGGAAUAUUGGUCAAUGGCCGGAAGGCUGAACCAGCCAAGCCGCGUGAAGGACGAAGGUGCCAAGCAUUGUAAACUUCUUUUGUCAAGGGACAAAAUCAGGCACGAGAGCCUGACCGAGGGUACUUGAAGAAAAAGCAUCGGCUAACUCCGUGCCAGCAGCCGCGGUAAUACGGAGGAUGCGAGCGUUAUCCGGAUUUAUGGGGUUUAAAGGGUGCGUAGGCGGACUGUUAAGUCAGCGGUAAAAGCCCGGGGCUCAACCCCGCGGAGCCGUUGAAACUGGCUGUCUUGAGAUGUCGAGAGGUAUGCGGAAUGCGCAGUGUAGCGGUGAAAUGCUUAGAUAGUGCGCAGAACUCCGAUUGCGAAGGCAGCAUACCGGCGGCGAUCUGACGCUGAGGCACGAAAGCGUGGGUAUCGAACAGGAUUAGAUACCCUUGUAGUC
rnacentral:rRNA from 1 species